GAACGCUGGCGGUAUGCUUAACACAUGCAAGUCGAACGGACUCUUCGGAGUUAGUGGCGGACGGGUGAGUAACGCGUGAGAAUCUGGCUUUGGGUUCGGGACAACCACUGGAAACGGUGGCUAAUACCGGAUGUGCCGAGAGGUAAAAGAGAAAUUGCCUGAAGAUGAGCUCGCGUCUGAUUAGCUAGUUGGUGAGGUAAAGGCUCACCAAGGCAGCGAUCAGUAGCUGGUCUGAGAGGAUGACCAGCCACACUGGGACUGAGACACGGCCCAGACUCCUACGGGAGGCGGCAGUGGGGAAUUUUCCGCAAUGGGCGAAAGCCUGACGGAGCAAUACCGCGUGAGGGAAGAAGGCUCUUGGGUUGUAAACCUCUUUUCUUAGGGAAGAACAAAAUGACGGUACCUAAGGAAUCAGCAUCGGCUAACUCCGUG
rnacentral:rRNA from 1 species